rnacentral:sRNA from 1 species
GAUGGACUCCGAAGGCCGGGUCUCUUGGUUGUGCACCUUUAAAGGUGGUUUGGAAGAAUUAGAUGACUCCAGAUAGUUUUAGAAAACUCCAUCUGACUUCUCUACAGACAGAGGAGAGCAGCCGGAACACUGACGGAGAAUUUGAGGACUUGGCUAGGAAUGCCAUCUUCAGAAUUCUGACCUCUCAGAGCCCAGAGAGAACCACAAGCUGGGGACUGCACUUUGUUAGGUAGCCUGAAGACCCAUCCAAAAUACCAUGGAAGGAGGGCAUUGAACAUGCAGGUAAGCAGUGUAUUCAAAAUGUCCAAAAGAAGGAGGUAUUUUACUGAUGGGCCACAAGACACCAGGGGUCCUUUCAAGCUAUAGUGUAUGUCAAGUGAAUGGAGGCAGCUAGUAAGGGGGUCCGUUUAUGGAAUUACAUUUAGAUCAUGGAUUCAGGCCCUAGACAAAAAGAAGACAGGGCCCUUAUCAAGCAGGAGGAUAUAAACUAAGAGAUCAAGAUUCAUUUACAGAGAAGGUAGGUACCAAGAUGUGAUUGACUGCCACAGUGCAAAUGGCUUCCUUUGGUUUACCAUUAGGUCAAGCUGAAACCCCAUGUCAUCAAGGUCCUUGAUGGGGGUGAGAGAGAUGCUCAGUGGGGUAGAAAGUGGAAACAAUAGGAAAGCCUGAACUCUACACCAUCAGUGGCCUUGGAGUUCCCAUCUUCAGUUGACAAACACCAAAUGCAGAUUUGCACAAGGUUAGUGGAUAGGCAGGUAGGAUGUGCAUAUUGACAGUCUUCUCGAGACCUCAGAGGAUUGCAGCAAGAUGCUGGGUGGGGGACUAUAAUACCCAUAUCAAAGGUGCCCAGGAGCACCUUAAAGGGAGAACUGCAUAGAUCCUCUAGCCCACCAAGGAACCCUAAGCAGUUGAGUAUAGUUGAACUAUAGUUCAAGGAGACUGGGAUUUUGUAGAGCAGUUGGCACAGACAAUUAUCAGGUGCUUUUCUUCUGAGCACUAACAUCUCUGCGUAUCUAUAAACUUCUGGUAGUCAUAGGGAACUUCUACAACAGGGGCCAUCACUCUCCAGGGAAACUCACUGGGCAACAUGGAGACUAUCCUGUUGUGUCUGCAUGAUCUUCCCUGGAGAAGGCUUUGGGCUUUAAUGUCAGACAGAAAUAGUUGCCAAUUUUUACUUUACUUCUUAUGAAUUGAGCUUGAACAAAUGCUACAGACCCACUGAUGCAGUUUCCUCAGGAUGAUUCUUACCUGAUUGGGUUGCUUUGGUGGGUUUUACAUUGUAUAGUUAUUCACUAAUAUAAUGUAACACGAACCUCUCAUAUUUAGUCGCAUACAAAAAUUAUGUGUGCAGAACUGUGGAUCAGGAAUUUGGACAGAACAGCAAGCGUGGCUACUUGCCUCUUACCUGUACCAGUUAUUUUUCUCACUGUGCGACAAAUUCCUCACGUAGCAGCUUAAUGGAGGAGGGUUUAUUUUGGUUGUGGUUUCAGGAUGGCAUUGUCCUUCAGAAAGGAGAACAUAUGGCUCAGGCUAUGGAUGUGGGUGGGUACAGCUGUUGCUUAUCCCAUUGCGGCAGAUCAGGAUGUAGACGAUGAGAACAGAAGCUGACAUAGGCAUCUGCAAAGCCCAUCCUCCAUGACCCCUCUCCACUGACUAGACCUCAGCCAUCUUCCCAAACAACUCUUUGGCUGGGAUCAUGAGUUUCAAACCAUACCACUCCACGAUGCGAGUCUAUUAGUAGAGGGGGAUACCUGAGACUAGGUAAUUUUAUAAGAGUUUACUCAUCUCACAGUUCUAUAUGUUUUGCUGUUUCCAUGAGGCCUCAUUUUGAGAAACCCAGCAUUUCUGGGACCUACCUUAGUUCCUUUGGAGUGGAGCUUCUGGUGACUUCCCAUAGAGUCCCACACCUCUGAAAAAUACCAUGAGGAACAAUCCUUUCGUACAACAGCCCUGAGAAGACAAACCACAUGUAAACCACUUGCAGGGGUCAGCAAGAUGCCUCAACAGAUAGAGACGCCGUGAAGCCCGAUGACCAGAAUUCAAGUCCACGGCGUCCACAUGGUAGAAGUCAAGAGCUGACUCUAGAAGUUUGUCUUCUGACUACCACACACACGCUGUGCCACGCCUGUCUCCCUCCCCAGGGAAUGAUUUAAUUCCAGAUGCAAGAAAAGCCAUCAGUGUCCCCUGUUCUCCACUGUCACAAUAUUAGUUUGUCUGCCCUGCCUCACACUGCCCACCAUGAUGCAGGGGACCCACUGAAGUCAUCAACGAAGUAAGUCUUUCUCUCACUUAAAUUGUUUCUGUCAGGCGUUUUCUCAGAGCAGUGGACAAAAUGAGUAAUAAAAAUUGGGUUGAGUUUGUUCUCUUGAAGAGUUGGCUACAAAAAACAAAAAAAACAAAACAAAAACUAAGCUUCUUUCCUUGCCACCUCUUAUGUUCUUCAUGUGUGUCCCCCCUCUCACCCUUCCCCUUCUCUCCGUUAGCUUCCGCCUGACACGUGAUGCAGCCAGGGAACCCUCACUGAACCUUCUAGCCAUCAGAAUCGGGGCUCAGGUUCCAGAGCUGGUGUCACAUACCCUUGCCUCAGCCUAGAGGUUUGCCUAUCAGGAAACAAGGCUGGCACCUUCUACAGCGGGUUCUGGGAUUUAGGAUUAGCCAGGAAUCAGCACAGUCUGGGAGAGCAAUGGAAGAUCACAGUAUUCACGAACAAGGACAGAUUGACCCGGGACAGGACACAGAACAUACUGUUCCGAGCCAUGGAGCAGAGAAAGGUUUCUCAGUGUCUACCCCACAGACUGGCAGCAUCUAUCCCUCUUUUCGGUGACAGAACUCUUGACUGCCACAAGUCAUGCAGCUGACUUUCCUGCCUUCAGAGGAGUCACGGGUUAACAUGCCUAGACUGCGAUGGAUGAGCCUCAUCUUGGGAAAAUCACCCUCAUGACCACGAGAUCUCCCCUGCCAGGAGGAGCAACAGUGUGGCAUAAAGUUAACCAUGAUCCUAGGAGUCACACAGCCCAGGCUCAAACAUGACUUCUUGUUUCCAGCUGAUCAGUCCGUCUUAGAUGUGAUGUGAUCAGCUGCCUUAAACUCCUGUAGAUUUGACUUCCUGGCUGUGACCGUCUUCACCUUGAACUGAACUGACAACCUCUCCCUCAUGGAGGACUCCCAGCCAGCCAGUAUCAGCCACGGAUGCUCGCCCUAGCAUCUCUCAAGCCCUUGCUGGGAUAUUGUGGGUCACUAGACUGCAGAGCGACAGCAGAGGUGUGUGGCCAUUUCUUGCUCGUGGUGGCAAAUGCAGGGUGCAGGACUUCUAUGGAGAUGCUCGGCUUUUCUGGGUACACUGCUUCUCAUUGUGUAAAUACGAAAUGUCCUCCAGAAGCCAUGUUUGAACCCUUAAGCCCCACGUGGUGACGGCGGGAAGGCGACAGAACCAUUAGGGUGCUGCUUUGCUGGAAGUGCUUCAUCGCUUGGCUUUGGUAUUUUAGUUGGCAUUUGUCUAUUUUUACUUUAUAUUUUCUUUCUCUGCUUCCUGGGUGUGAACGAAAUGGGAUCACUCUGCUCCCUGGCUGCCGAGCCAGCCUCUCGUUCCGGCAUUGGUGUGCUUUCCCCGCUAGGAUAGACUCUACGUCAUCUGGAACUGUAAGCCAGAAUAAACCAUUUCUUCGGCAAGCUACCCUGUUGUAGUAAUUGUUAGAAAAGAAUCUAGCAUGGCAUUAGCGGGUACAUUCAUCUCAGCAGCUGCCUGUCCCAGGGUACCCUGUCAUGCUACCCCCAACUAUUUCCUGUCCCCAGCGGUCUGUCCACCCCAGGUAGUCGCAUGCCAUGGCCGCCCCUUCCUGGCUGGCUCUCUGCCUCGAACUCUGCUCACAUUCCCUGUAACCUGGUAAAAUCGAGACCCAAAAAGCUUAUUAAUUUAGCAAUCAGAUUUAUAUGUUGAAUUUUCAAUCCACAAUACAUCCACACAAUAAACUCAGAGCCGAGUGA